GCUGAGGUGAGAGCUCUCUCUACUCCCUGCCUCAGGACCCAGGUUGAGGUCUCAGAUGUGAAGCCCUGGAGUGAAAUGUCCUGCAGGAGUCAGAUACCCCUGGGCCUGAGGCUGGGGCCUCACUUUGCAGCAGGACCAUGGUUCCUGGUCAAAGGCGAGAACAAGGGGACCACGGGCUGAGACUCCUAGCUGUGUGUGGCCAUGAUACAGCUGCCUGAUGCACCUCCAGAACACGCUGACAAGAGCUGUGUCCUGGUAGGAGACGCCCGAUUUGAGGAGUGCUUUGAGCGCUGCACGUGCUGUGGCGCUGGGGACCUGAUAUGCGAGCGCAGCCACAGCCUGCCUUCAAGAACUGUUGGUUCCAGGACAGGAAGAAGGACUGCCAGCCCCUUGG